rnacentral:rRNA from 1 species
UACAGAGGGUGCGAGCGUUACUCGGAAUUACUGGGCGUAAAGCGUGCGUAGACGGCUAUCUAAGUCGGGUGUGAAAGCCCCGGGCUCAACCUGGGAAUUGCAUUCGAGACUGAAUAGCUAGGGUACGGUAGAGGGAAGUGGAAUUUCCGGUGUAGCGGUGAAAUGCGUAGAUAUCGGGAGGAACACCUGUGGCGAAGGCGGCCCCCUGGUUGGAUACUGACGCUGAUACGCGAAAGCGUGGGGAGCAAACAGG